ACCUGGGUGGCUCAGUCGGUUGAGCGUCUGACUUCAGCUCAGGUCACGAUCUCGCAGCUUGUGAGUUCGAGCCCCGCAUCGGGCU
rnacentral:tRNA from 1 species